UUGGUUUCUACAAAAUAAGUUCUCAUUGUUGGUAUCCUCUUUUCCACAACUUAUCUUUUAUUCUCUUAUGUUUUGUUGAGUUCUUGUUGAGUUGUAUAUCCUAUUAUUGUAUUUUAGAAUGCUUGUGUUCUUGCUGUAUAUUUUAGAGUUUAAAUUAUAUUUUUAAACACUCUAGUCACAUGUUUAAAAUGGAAACUAAUGAC
rnacentral:lncRNA from 1 species